ACUGGGGAAAACCGUUGACGUCAUCUCCGUUUUUUUCCGUCAGUAAACAACAUGGCUGGAAUGGAUGACAAGUAUGAUAGCGCUCUCCUUGGAAUUUUACAGAAUGAGGGAAAUAUAUCAAGUUUUUUACAAGUCAUGUUUGGCUUUCUUUUUCGCAGGACAGAUUUCUAUAUUACGAUGACAUCAGAAAAGGAUAAAAUGGGAUUUCCUCCUGGUGCACAAGUUAAACUACUUUUACAGGCACAUAAACAUUAUGAAAAGUUAGCUGCAGAAAGAGAGAAAAGGAAAAACGUAUCCAAAAAAGAAAAAAAAGAUAAACCUGCUGCCACAUCUGAAUCAGAAAAAGAAACAACAGUCAAAAGUACUACAGUAGAAAAUCCAGCUACUUCAUCAUUAGAUACAGACAUUGACAUGAAAACUGAAAUAAACCAACAAGAAAUUGUUCAGUCUGAAUCAAAAACAUCAUCGGAAAAUGUUCCUACACAAUCUAAAUCUGAAAAUGUUCCUUCACAAUCUAAAUCUGAAAAUGUUCCUUCACAAUCUAAAACUGAAAAUGAAAAAUGUUCAGACACAAAUGAAGAAGAUGAUCCUGAAGUUAUCAGACAACAGCAGAUAUUUCAGGCUAACCCAGAAAGUUAUAAUGGUGCUGUUCGAGAGAAUUAUUCAUGGUCUCAGAGUAUUACUGAUGUUGACGUUAGAGUCAAUGUUCCAAAGACGAUUUGUAAAGGUAAUCAAGUGCAUGUAGUUACAGAUAAAAAACAUUUAAAAGUUGGUUAUAAAGAUUGCAAUGGUGAUAUACAGAUUGUUGUUGAUAAUGAUUUAACUUGGGAGAUUCAUAAAGAAGAGUCUAUAUGGAGUUUAGUACCAGGAGAACAUGUGCAUAUCAAUCUAGAAAAAAAACAAGAAAGGUGGUGGGAGGGAUUAUUUGUGAAUGAACCUAAAAUAAAUGUGAGAAAAAUAGAUUGUAGUCGACCCAUGACAGAAUUAGAUGAUGAAGCCCAAGCUAAAAUAGGUGAAAUGAUGUUCAAUGAACAACAGAAACGACUUGGAUUACCGCAAUCACAUGAACAGAAAACUUAUGACAUGAUGAAGCAAGCCUGGGAUGCAGAAGGUUCUCCAUUUAAAGGACAGCCAUUUGAUCCAUCAAAAUUUAAUGUGAAUUCUGGUGGUGUUGUUUCUAUUAAUGACUGAAUCAUUUACAUGCUUUAUUUGAAGUGACAUAUUGUUAUAGCCUACGUUACUCAUGGCAAACAUUGAAACUUUUUAAUUCCGAUGGGAUAAUUCAUAUGUUACAUAUUAAAGCUUACAUUAUUAUAUGUUUAAAAACUGUUAAAAAUUUCACGAUGUUUGUGAGAUAGCUUACUUUUAAAAGAUUUAUACAAGUAUAUGAACAUAUAUAUGGAUGUACUAAUAUUGUUACAAAGGCUAUAUAUGGUUUCAUCUUUGCAGUUUAAAGGUAUUACGACAUACAUCCUCCUACCUUUACUGUAUUGACUGACUCUGUAUACACUGGAGUUAAAAUAUUUUUUAAACAUGUAUUAGAUUUAAAAAAAAGAUUAUAAAUGAUUGAAUCAAUAUCCGUAUGCAAAGAUUUGUAUCAGUUAUUGUGAUUGGGGCUAUUAGUAUAUUAGUGUAUACAAAAAUGUUGGCUUAUACAGUUAAGGUAUCCAGCAUGCCUUAACACCAUGCAGUCUGCAGUUUAAUUAUUUUGGAAAGAUUUGUUGUCUUUGAGGAAGAGGAGACAUUGUUACAUUUUAAUAAAAGUUCCAUUUAAUACAUAUAUCUUGGAAGUUGUUAGAAAUCAGUUUCAGCAUCUUAUUUGUUUAAUAUACCAGUUUUAUUUGUUUACAGAAGCCUUGAACAUUAAUGAAAAUGUGAUGGGAUUGGGGACCACAUGUAAUUUCAUUCACAAGAACUUCACUAUACAUUUUUACAAUGUUUGUCUCACGAAAAUGUUACCUGGAGAAACAGAGUGUCUCUAGCUUUAUAUGAUCCUCCAAUUAAAGACAUAUUCCUUUGAAAAUUGGGACUGUAAUUAUGUUACUAUCUCCUUAGAAAAUAAGUUUUAUUGUCAAAAAUUCAAAAGCUGGGAGGAGUGAUAUUUUAAAAUAACUCAUUUUUUAUAAUUGUGGGCAGACAACACUACUUUUUGUUAAUAUUAUAUGCAGACACGUAAGAUUAUGCAGUCUUUAAUGUUUACUAACCUCCAGUAUGUCUCUGAUAUCUUUAAUGCUUCUAAAAGAUGCCAUUUUACUGGUUGAAGACAGGCCAUAAUGAAAUGGUGUUUAAUUUAAUGUCUUACCUUUCUGCACUAACCGGACAAAUGAAGAUGGGCAAUUGUCAUGUAGUGUGCUAUGAGGAGAAAUUUUGCCUGAACAUCAGCAUUUCCACUUACCCUUUAUUGAAACCUAACCAUCAAGGGUUGUUUACAUGCACGGCAAUGUGUAGGCUACCAUCCGAACAACUGGACACUAUUCCUUGGUCAUAGCUUCAUUUAUUUUUAUAGUUCAGUAAUCUAAUUAUUUUGAUUUACAAAUGAUGAUAGAGAAGUAACCUUACAGUUAUUUGAACAUUGUAUAAGUGAUAUGAACAAAGGUAAGUAAUUUAAGUCUGAAUCCAAGCUGGGAGGUUAUCUAGUGUUGGUAUUUUGAUGGGCUAUUUGCAAUUUUUGCUAAAAUAUCAAAAUCCUCAUGGCUUAAUCCAGUCAUAUAUGUACUCAGAUUGAUUAUUUAACAUUUGGUUAAAGGCUCAAUACCACUCUUGUUGUAACUGAAUAAUAUGUCCCAAUCUUUAUUCUGGUCAACAAAUUGUACUAUUUUACAGUAUUACAAUUAAUUGAUGAUACAAAUUUCAUCUUAACACACCUAAUUUAAAAAAUUGGAAAAAUUCAACUAAAUGAUUUGAAAAGCCUAACGUAAACCUUUUCAAAUGUGACUUGGAUUUAAAAAUAUUUUCGAACCCUCUGGACAAGUAAAAUAGGAUGUAAUGGAUAAUUUACACAACAGGUAGGACACUUAAACAUCUAAUACUUAGAAUAAGGCUAAUAUUUAUUUACUGGAGCUGCCAAGCCAGCAAGAGUGUUAUUGUCCCUUUAAGAAACAAAAUCAAAAUAAAAACGCUAGAUAAUGUCCGGGCUUGGAUUCAAUCAGAUUUAAAAAAGGCCUAUCAAUAAAUUUUUGUGUGGUCAACAAAAUGCCCGCAAGCUUAUUGCAUAGCAAUCAGCAUAAAUCAAUAAAAUAAUGAACAGAAUUGAACCAUUUUGGACUGAUAUUCUUAUUCAUCUUUCACAAUAUUGUAGUUUGCAACUGCUUCUAUAGUGCUAAAAUGAUGCAUCAUGACUUUAGUGAAAUAUUAAAUAAUCAAUCUCAGUACACAUUAGUGUGGAUUAAGCCGUGAGAAAUAAGAUAUUUUAGCAAAAAAUGCCAAUUGCCCAAGAAAUGCCCUAAAUAUAAAAUUGAAUUUAAUGGUGAGACAAUUAUUAGUCUCCAUCCUAAUGCCUGUCGAGAGAAGUUGUCUCCCUUGUAUAUAUUAAAUAGAGUUACCUCUCUUCCAAUGGCAGAAGAAGAAACCAAAGUUUUGUCUGAUGUACAUAUUUAUGCACAAUACCAAAUAACAGAUAAUUGUCAUGUAAAAGUAAAUGCAGUUUCUAGAUUUCUAUUCAAGCUUCCUGAGAAUGAUGUAGAUGAUGUGGGUGUUAUUUCUAAAGGUAAAGAACCAAUUAAUUGUAAAGAUGCGGAUGGUGAUUUUAUUGUUCGGAGAAAACCUGUUGAUAACUUGACUGAUCAAAGAGAGGUCAUUACUAUCUAUCAUGGUCUCGAGACAGAAUUAAAAGAUGUAGGUCUGCAGGUUUGGAAUGGAUGUUUGUUAAUGUGUGAUUUUAUUCUGCAUGGUAAUCUAAGCUGGAAAAAUCAGACUAUUCUUGAUUUAGGUGCUGGUGUUGGAUUAACCAGUAUUUUGUCUGCUAUAUUUGCUGAUAAAGUUUAUUCUACAGAUACAGGAAAUGAUGUUUUGGAUAUAGCAAGAACCAAUGUUGAAGUGAAUGCCCAUUUAUUGAGAAAUGGUGGCCAUUCUGUAGAAGUAAGAGAAAUCGAUUGGAUCAAAUGUGGUA